rnacentral:rRNA from 1 species
UGCUCAAUUGUAAGACCCAAGUAACAUUUUUUUAUAUAAUAGUGUAAUUAGGUUUUUAAAAUAAAACAAUUUUAAAUUAAUUUUGGUUUUAAGUAUAGUGUAUAGAACUUUAACUUUAUGGGUUCUUUAUUUUGUACCGUGAGGGAGCAUUGAAAUAUAAUUAGCGUUAAAGCUUUAGAUAAUAAAAUAAAAUUUUGUACUUUUUGUAUUACGGUAAAACAAAUUGUUAUGACUUCAGGUGUCAUUAAACGAAACAGGUCGAUCUAUUUUUUUCUGUAGUUUAGCUAUGUUAUUAGGGUGUUGCAAAACUUCUAAUAUGAGGAAAAAGUAGUAGCAAAAUGUUAAUCGUGUCCUGUGUUAGCUUUUUAACAAGGAAUAAAGUAUAAGCUUUCCCUGGGAAAAACUAGGUUAGAAGCUCUCGGAUGAGCGUGAGCUUCUUUGGGGAGUCAGCCCUUAACUCUAAGAAAGGGCAUCAAACUAUUAGAAUAUUUAGGCGAGUAGGUUAGUUUUAGCAACUCUCUCAGCCAGUGCGUUGUAGCAGACUAAAUUUCUUAUUUUAUGUAUAUAAUCACCCUAUCUUGGUUUUUUUACUUGUUUCGAAGAAUAAUUUUCUUGUGUUAAUGUUUUAAUGAGUAAGUUUUUCUGAGUUUAUAAUAUAACCUUUUCUAUUAAACAACUGCUUAUGCCCUGUUUAUUUGUUUUAGUGUUCUUAUUAAAGUUAGAAGUAUUUAUUAAUCUAAGUAGGAAAAGGAACUCGGCAAAUAUUUCUUGCGCCUGUUUACCAAAAACAACGCCCUUGGAAGAAGAUCAGUGGGUUCUGCCUGCCCGGUGACUUAGGUUAAACGGCUGCAGUAUUCUGACUGUGCAAAGGUAGCAAAAUCAAUUGUUCAUUAAUUGUGGACUGGUAUCAACGGCUAGACGACAAGAAGACUGUCUUUUUCUACUAAUCCUGAAUUUUACUUUUAGGUGAAGAGGCCUAAAUUUUUUAGUGGGACGAGAAGACCCUAUUGAGCUUUAACUACUUACUAUAUUAAAAUACAUAAGUAGUUUGGGUUGGGGCAACCGAUCUUAAUUUUAAAACAAGGUUGAUUUCAUAUUAAAAUUAAUUUUUAUUUUGACCCAAAAUAUUUUGAUCAUUAGAAAAAGUUACCUUAGGGAUAACAGCGUAAUUUUUUCAGAGAGUCCUUAUUGACGAAAAAGUUUGCGACCUCGAUGUUGGAUCAUAGUCUCCUAGGGGUGCAGCAGCUCCUGAGGGUUGGUUUGUUCAACCAUUAAAACUAUACGCGAUCUGAGUUCAGUCCGUCGUGAGACAGGACAGUUUCUAUCUACUAAACUCCCUUUUCUUGUACGAAAGGAAUUUUAAGGGGUAGCUGAUGAGCAAUUUAAGCUAUAUAAAACACUUGAAUCUGAUAAUAAAGA